CCUACGGGAGGCAGCAGUGAGGAAUAUUGGUCAAUGGACGAGAGUCUGAACCAGCCAAGUCGCGUGAAGGAUGACUGCCCUAUGGGUCGUAAACCUCUUUUAUAUGGGAAUAAGAUGUUCCACGUGUGGGAGCUUGUAUGUACCAUAUGAAUAAGGAUCGGCUAACUCCGGGCCAGCAGCCGCGGUAAUACGGAGGAUCCGAGCGUUAUCCGGAUUUAUUGGGUUUAAAGGGAGCGUAGGUGGAUUGUUAAGUCAGUGGUAAAAUUGAGGGGAUCAACCCCUUCCCGCCGUUGAAACUGGCGCUCUUGAGUGGAAGAGAAGUAGGCGGAAUGCGGGGUGUAGCGGUGAAAUGCAUAGAUAUCACGCAGAACCCCGAUUGCGAAGGCAGCAUGCCGGCUUCCGACUGACGCUGAAGCACGAAAGCGUGGGGAUCGAACAGGAUUAGAUACCCGAGUAGUC
rnacentral:rRNA from 1 species